rnacentral:misc_RNA from 1 species
UUUCCGUAGGUGAACCUGCGGAAGGAUCAUUAAAGAGUAAGGGUCUUCGGGCCCGAUCUCCAACCCUUUGUUUAACUACCAUGUUGCUUUGGCGGGCCCGUCUCACGACCGCCGGAAGUUUGGCUUCGACCAAACUUCUGGCCCGUGCCCGUCAGUGGCCCCUUCAAAUUCUUGAUCAAGUAUGAUGUCUUAGUUAAAAACUUAAUAGUUAAAACAUUCAACAACGGAUCUCUUGGUUCUG